UUUAACUGACGCUGAGGGACGAAAGCGUGGGGAGCGAACAGGAUUAGAUACCCUGGUAGUCCACGCCGUAAACGAUGCUAACUCGUUUUUGGGGCGCAAGCUUCAGAGACCAAGCGAAAGUGAUAAGUUAGCCACCUGGGGAGUACGUUCGCAAGAAUGAAACUCAAAGGAAUUGACGGGGGCCCGCACAAGCGGUGGAUUAUGUGGUUUAAUUCGAUGAUACGCGAGGAACCUUACCAAGGCUUAAAUGGGAAAUGACAGAUUUAGAAAUAGAUCCUUCUUCGGACAUUUUUCAAGGUGCUGCAUGGUGUCGUCAGCUCGUGCCGUGAGGUGUUAGGUUAAGUCCUGCAACGAGCGCAACCCCUGUCACUAGUUGCUAACAUUAAGUUGAGGACUCUAGUGAGACUGCCUACGCAAGUAGAGAGGAAGGUGGGGAUGACGUCAAAUCAUCACGGCCCUUACGCCUUGGGCCACACACGUAAUACAAUGGCCGGUACAGAGGGCAGCUACACAGCGAUGUGAUGCGAAUCUCGAAAGCCGGUCUCAGUUCGGAUUGGAGUCUGCAACUCGACUCUAUGAAGCGGAAUCGCUAGUAAUCGCGCAUCAGCCAUGGCGCGGUGAAUACGUUCCCGGGCCUUGUACACACCGCCCGUCAAGCCAUGGAAGUCUGGGGUACCUGAAGUCGGUGACCGUAAAAGAGCUG
rnacentral:rRNA from 1 species